ACACGUAGGGCGCAAGCGUUGUCGGGAUUUGUUGGGCGUAAAGGGCUCGUAGGCGGUUUCGUAAGUCGGGUGAGAAAACUCAGGGCUCAACCCUGAGACGCCACUCGAUACUGCGAUGACUUGAGUCCGGUAGGGGAGCAGGGAUUCCUGGUGUAGCGGUGAAAUGCGCAGAUAUCAGGAGGAACACCAUUAGCGAAGGCGCUGCUCUGGGCCGGUACUGACGCUGAGGAGCGAAAGCAUGGGGAGCAAACAGGAUUAGAAACCCUAGUAGUCC
rnacentral:rRNA from 1 species